rnacentral:tRNA from 1 species
GCGCCUGUGGCGGAAUUGGCAGACGCGCUGGACUUAGGAUCCAGUGAAGCAAUUCGUGCAGGUUCGAUUCCUGUCAGGCGCA